rnacentral:lncRNA from 1 species
AUGCUUCUCACCCUGCUGUGCUGUGCAGUCCUGUUGGGCUCUGUUCCUGCUCCCCAUGGUAAUAGGUCAUUGUGUCACACCUGGGUAGCUGUGACAUCAUUCCUGCUGUGGUUCCAUCAUGAAGGGCAGUUGCUAUUAAGACAGCUCUCCUCCAUCCCUACUGUGAUGAUGCAGGCAGGGCAGCCUCUUUGCUGUCUUUAUUGCCAGCACUGUUUAGGGUGUGAUGACAGACAGGCAGGCAGCUCCCAAGGAAAAAGAAGAUCCUGCUUGCAGAAGGACAUGAAACAGAGGGGGGAAGCAAUCCAGAGAGUCAAAGGAAUGGCUGUGAAGCAGAAGUCUGGGAAUCAUUAUGAGAAUACUCUCAAUCUUCCUGGAGCAGCUGAAAGCUUUACUGCCAACAGCGCUUGGCUGCCAG